rnacentral:rRNA from 1 species
UGGGGAAUUUUGGGAUCAAUGGGCGAAAGCCUGAUCCAGCAAUGCCGCGUGUGUGAAGAAGGCCUUCGGGUUGUAAAGCACUUUUGUCCGGAAAGAAAUCCUUGGCUCUAAUACAGUCGGGGGAGUGACGGUACCGGAAGAAUAAGCACCGGCUAACUACGUGCCAGCAGCCGCGGUAAUACGUAGGGUGCAAGCGUUAAUCGGAAUUACUGGGCGUAAAGCGUGCGCAGGCGGUUUGCUAAGACCGAUGUGAAAUCCCGGCGCACUGGACUGCAUGGUGAUCUGGCAGGCUAGAGUAUGGCAGAGGGGGUGAGAAUUCCACGUGUAGCAGUGAAAUGCGUAGAGAUGUGGAGGAAUACCGAUGGCGAAGGCAG